rnacentral:rRNA from 1 species
GUCAGCUCGUGUCGUGAGAUGUUGGGUUAAGUCCGCAACGAGCGCAACCCUACUUGUUAGUUGCCAUCAUUCAGUUGGGCACUCUAGCGAGACUGCCGGUAAUAAACCGGAGGAAGGUGGGGAUGACGUCAAAUCAUCAUGCCCCUUAUGACCUGGGCUACACACGUGCUACAAUGGUUGGUACAACGAGUUGCGAGUCGGUGACGGCGAGCUAAUCUCUUAAAGCCAAUCUCAGUUCGGAUUGUAGGCUGCAACUCGCCUACAUGAAGUCGGAAUCGCUAGUAAUCGCGGAUCAGCACGCCGCGGUGAAUACGUUCCCGGGCCUU